rnacentral:rRNA from 1 species
GAGUUUGAUCAUGGCUCAGAUUGAACGCUGGCGGCAGGCCUAACACAUGCAAGUCGAACGGUAACAGGAAGCAGCUUGCUGCUUCGCUGACGAGUGGCGGACGGGUGAGUAAUGUCUGGGAAACUGCCUGAUGGAGGGGGAUAACUACUGGAAACGGUAGCUAAUACCGCAUAAUGUCGCAAGACCAAAGAGGGGGACCUUCGGGCCUCUUGCCAUCGGAUGUGCCCAGAUGGGAUUAGCUAGUAGGUGGGGUAACGGCUCACCUAGGCGACGAUCCCUAGCUGGUCUGAGAGGAUGACCAGCCACACUGGAACUGAGACACGGUCCAGACUCCUACGGGAGGCAGCAGA